UACGGCGAUAACUCGUUGAAACACCCGUUCUCGUAAGAUAACCAAAGUUAAGCAAUGUCGAACUUGGUUAGUAUCUAAAUGCGUGACCACAUGGGAAAGCGU